rnacentral:rRNA from 1 species
GUGUAUUGGACUACCAUGGCAAUCACGGGUAACGGAGAAUUAGGGUUCGAUUCCGGAGAGGGGAGCCUGAGAAACGGCUACCACACCUACGGGGAGGCAGCAGGGACGAAAAAUUGCCCAAUCCUGAUUCAGGGAGGCAGUGACAAGAAAUAACAACUCCCUAACUUUGUUGGGAAGUGUAAUGAGGAUAAUUUACAAACCUUACCGAAAGCAAUUGGAGGACAAGUCUGGUGCCAGCACCCGCGGUAAUUCCAGCUCCAAAAGCGUAUAUUAAAGUUGUUGCAGUUAAAAAGCUCGUAGUUGAAAUUCUGGCUGUAUUGGGCCUUUGCUUUCAUGCGAAGGACCAGCAGUCAUCCGCUUGCAAGUACAUGCUCUUCCUUAACCGGUAGACUGUAUAAGUAAGC